GCUACGGGAGGCAGCAGUGAGGAAUAUUGGUCAAUGGACGAGAGUCUGAACCAGCCAAGUAGCGUGAAGGAUGACUGCCCUAUGGGUUGUAAACUUCUUUUAUAUGGGAAUAAAAUGUUCCACGUGUGGGAUUUUGUAUGUACCAUAUGAAUAAGGAUCGGCUAACUCCGUGCCAGCAGCCGCGGUAAUACGGAGGAUCCGAGCGUUAUCCGUAUUUAUUUGGUUUAAAGGGAGCGUAGGUGGAUUGUUAAGGCAGUUGUGAAAGUUUGCGGAUCAACCGUAAAAUUGAAGUGGAAACUGGCAGUCUGGAGUACAGUAGAGGUGGGCGGAAUGCGUGGUGUAGCGGGGAAAUGCUUAGAGA
rnacentral:rRNA from 1 species